ensembl:lncRNA
UAAAACAAAAAUACAUUUUAAUUAUUUCUUCAUAGUGGAAGAGUAUCCCACAUUGGCUGAAAUGUAGGAAUUUUUUCCUUUUUUUUUUUUUUUUAACUACAUUAAAGAUAGACAACUUAAAGCUGUGAACUGUCAAGUUUUCUGGAGAAGAAGGUAUGUAAUAUUUAGGCAAAUUCCACUUACAUGCAACCAUGGGUUUGAGAACACUGAGGAUAGGAUGUGAGUGGUUGACAAAUAUGUAACAUAUUUCAUUUCUCCCCUUUUUUUCUACAAUACCUGCUCUGUAGCUCUCAAAGGAGGCAAAUGAUAUACUAACAAAAAGUGUCACACAUACACACACAUCUGCUACCCCCCCUCUAGCUUUCUAGUCCUGUUCCUGAUCUGUCCACUACUGUCUCCCGUUUCUCUUUAACAAUAUCCUAAACCAUAAAAUAAAAAUAAAAUCAUCAGCACUUCUGUAGGGAGAUUAGAGAAGGCCAGUAAACACCAGAGGUUUAUAAAGCCACAAGAGAAAUCUAGGGUACUUAUCUGUUUCUCCACAUCUACCUUAACUGAUUUUUGCCUCCUAGAGUGGCAGUACAUACUGCUCAAGAACCAAGGCUCUACUAUUUAUAACAGUCAAGACAUGGGAACGACCUAAAUGUCCACUGAUUGAUAGAUGAAUAGAUGAAUAAAGAUGUCGUUUACAUAUGUACAAUGAGAUAUUACUCAGCCAUACAAAAGAAUGAAAUAAUACCAUUUGCAGCAACAUCGAUGGACCUAGAGAUCAUACUAAAGUCAGAGUAAGACAAAUACCAUAUGAUAUCACUUAUAAGUGGAAUCGAAAAUAUGACACAAAUGAAUUUAUAAAACAGACUUGUGGUUGCCAAGGGGGAGAGGAGAUGAGGAGGGAUGGAGUGGGCAUUUGGAAUUAGCAGAGGCAGACUAUUUCAUACAGAAUGGCUAAACAACAAGCAUAGAGAACUGUAUUCAGUAUCCUGUGAUUAACCAAAAUGGAAAAAAAAAAUACAUGUAUACCUGAAACACUUUGCUGUACAGCAGAAAUUAACACAACAUUGUAAAUCAACUAUACCAAAAAAAAAAAGAACCAAGGUUCAGAAAUCAAGAUACAUCUGGCCUGCAUCCCAUCUUCACGAUGGAAAUGACAAUAUUUCUCCCUAGGGUGUUAGGAGGCAGUUCAGUGUUACCUAUCUUCAAGACUAAGGAACUCAAUUGUUGGUUUUCCAGUCACUACUGGAUUUACAUUGAAUCUGAGAUUUAAUUCUAUGAGCAGCAAAAAACAAGAUUUCCUAAAAAUCAGCUCCUCCAGGACAGAUCUUGUCUUACCUUUUACCUAAAAUUUUAAAUAUAGGAGAAUCAAAAAUGGUAGAAGUUAGAGUUCCCACUGUGGCACAAGGUGAGGGUGUCUCUGCAGCAGCAGGGACACGGGUUCCAUCCCCAGCACAGUGGGAUUAGGAUCUGGCAUUGCUGCAGCCAUUGCAACACCAUAUCUCUGAUCAUAGCUCUGGCUCAGAUUGUAUCCCUGGCCUAGAACUCCAUAUAUGCCACAAGGUUCCCCCCACCACCCUCUGAAUGGUAGACAUUAAGGAUAUAAAAAUUCUGCAGGUAGACUGCCCGGAUUUAAAUCAGGAUUUCAAUACUUCCUAGUUUUUGUCUAGACCAAUUACUCAAAAUCUUUUGCCUCAAAAUCUUUUGCCUCAAAAUUUUCUGCUGUGAAAUGUGGGAUUCAAAUAACAUGUACCUAGGGAGAUCCAAUUGUGGUUCAGCAAGUUAAGGAUCCAACAUUGUGAGGAUGCAGGUUCAAUCUCUGGCCUCACUCAGUGGGUUAAGGAUCCAGCAUUGCUGUAAGCUGCAGCACAGGUUGCAGAUACAGCUCAGAUCCAGUGUUGCUGUGGCUAUGGCAUAGUCCCCAACUGCAUCUCUGAUUCAUCUCCUAGCCUGGAAACUUCCAUAUGCUGCAGGUGCAGCCAUAAAAAGAAAAAAAAAAGUACCUCUUAUGGUUAUGAUAAUAGAAAUAAAACAACAGUGUCUAAAUGUCACAUUACUAAGCUUAUUAUUUUAUAGCAGGUGUUAAAUGUUCAUAGUAUUACUUGGUACUUUAAAAAGCCUAGGCUGUGACAUCAGUUGAUUUCCACACGUUACUAUCAAGGCUAGUGUCACAAUUUGACUAAAAACUGUUCCAUGCUACAACAAAUAACCCUAAAAUUUAUGUGGAAACGUAGAAGACCCAGAAUUGCCAAAGCAAUUCUGAGGAAAAAUAACAAAGCAGGAAGCAUAACUCUCCCAGACUUCAGACAAUACCACAAAGCUACAGUAAUCAAAACAGCAUGAUGUUGGCACAAAAACAGAUACACAGAUCAACAGGACAGAAGGAGAGAGCCCAAAAAUAAACCUACACACCUAUGGACAAUUAUUCUUCAACAAAGGAGACAGGUACAUACAAUAGAGAAAAGACAGUCUCUUCAGCCAGUGGUGUUGGGAAAGUUGCAUGGUUGGUGUAAAUCAAUCAAGGGAGAAUACACCCUCACACCAUACACAAAAACUCAAAAUGAUUUAUUAAAGACACAUUCAAGGGGGAUUAAGAUGGCAGAAGAAUUAUGACUGGAUAAGGAAACAUGGAAAAACCCCAGAAAAACAGCUAAGUGACCUGGAGAUUACCAACCUCCAUGAAAAAGACUUGAGACCAAUAAUAGUAAAGAUGAUUCAAGAUCCUGGAACUGGAGACAAAUACUGAUAAAUUACAAGAAACACUGAGCAAAGAGAUAGAAGAUUUAAGGAUUAAGCAAGCAGAGAUGCAAAAUACAGUAACUGAAAUUAAAAAGUCACUAGAAGCAACCAAAAACAGAAUAUAGGAGGCAGAGGAAGGAAUAAGCAAGGUGGAAGAAAGACUAGUGUAAAUCACUGAUGUGGAACAGAAAAAAGACUGAAAAGAAAUGAAGACAGUCUAAGAGAAUUCUGGGAAAAUGUUAAAUGCACCAAUAUCUGUA